rnacentral:rRNA from 1 species
AGGGUUUGAUCCUGGCUCAGAACGUACGCUGGCGGCACGCCUAACACAUGCAAGUCGAACGAAGUAGCAAUACUUAGUGGCAGACGGGUGAGUAACAUGUAGGUAUCUGCCCUUUGGCCUGGAAUAACACGAGGAAACUUGUGCUAAUACUGGAUAAGUCUUUACGGAGAAAGCUUUAUGCACCAUUGGAUGAGCCUGCACUUGAUUAGUUUGUUGGUGGGGUAAUGGCCUACCAAGACUUUGAUCAAUAGCUGAUUUGAGAGGAUGAUCAGCCACAUUGGGACUGAGACACGGCCCAAACUCCUACGGGAGGCAGCAGUGGGGAAUCUUGCACAAUGGAGGAAACUCUGAUGCAGCGAUGCCGCGUGAGUGAAGAAGGCCUUUGGGUUGUAAAGCUCUUUCGUCGGGGAAGAAAAUGACUGUACCCGAAUAAGAAGGUCCGGCUAACUUCGUGCCAGCAGCCGCGGUAAUACGAAGGGACCUAGCGUAGUUCGGAAUUACUGGGCUUAAAGAGUUCGUAGGUGGUUGAAAAAGUUGGUGGUGAAAUCCCAGAGCUUAACUCUGGAACUGCCAUCAAAACUUUUCAGCUAGAGUUUGAUAGAGGAAAGCAGAAUUUCUAGUGUAGAGGUGAAAUUCGUAGAUAUUAGAAAGAAUACCGAUUGCGAAGGCAGCUUUCUGGAUCAAUACUGACACUGAGGAACGAAAGCAUGGGUAGCGAAGAGGAUUAGAUACCCUCGUAGUCCAUGCCGUAAACGAUGUGUGUUAGACGUUGGAAAUUUAUUUUCAGUGUCGCAGCGAAAGCGAUAAACACACCGCCUGGGGAGUACGACCGCAAGGUUAAAACUCAAAUGAAUUGACGGGGACCCGCACAAGUAGUGGAGCAUGUGGUUUAAUUCGAAGAUACGCGCAGAACCUUACCAACACUUGACAUGUUCGUCGCGACUUUAAGAGAUUAAAGUUUUCGGUUCGGCCGGACGAAACACAGGUGCUGCAUGGCUGUCGUCAGCUCGUGUCGUGAGAUGUUGGGUUAAGUCCCGCAACGAGCGCAACCCUCACUUUUAGUUGCCAUCAUUAAGUUGGGCACUCUGAAAGAACUGCCAGUGAUAAGCUGGAGGAAGGUGGGGAUGACGUCAAGUCCUCAUGGCCCUUACGUGUUGGGCUACACACGUGCUACAAUGGUAUCUACAACAGGAAGCAAGACGGCGACGUUAAGCAAAUCCUUAAAAGAUACCUCAGUUCGGAUUGUACUCUGCAACUCGAGUACAUGAAGCUGGAAUUACUAGUAAUCGUGGAUCAGCGUGCCACGGUGAAUGCGUUCCCGGGUCUUGUACACACCGCCCGUCACACCAUGGGAGUUGGUUCUACCUUAAGGCAAGGUUUAAAACCCUUGACCACGGUAUAGUCAGCGACUGGGGUGAAGUCGUAACAAGGUAACCGUA